GAUGAACGCUAGCUACAGGCUUAACACAUGCAAGUCGCGGGGCAGCAUGGGGGUUGCUUGCAAUCCCUGAUGGCGACCGGCGCACGGGUGAGUAACGCGUAUCCAACCUGCCCUUCACCACGGGAUAACCCGGCGAAAGUCGGACUAAUACCGUAUGUUGUCCAUUGACGGCCUCCGAUUUGGACGAAAGGCUUAGCGGUGAGGGAUGGGGAUGCGUCCGAUUAGCUUGACGGCGGGGUAACGGCCCACCGUGGCUACGAUCGGUAGGGGUUCUGAGAGGAAGGUCCCCCACACUGGAACUGAGACACGGUCCAGACUCCUACGGGAGGCAGCAGUGAGGAAUAUUGGUCAAUGGGCGUAAGCCUGAACCAGCCAAGUAGCGUGCAGGAUGACGGCCCUAUGGGUUGUAAACUGCUUUUAUGCGGGGAUAAAGGGACCCACGUGUGGGUUUUUGCAGGUACCGCAUGAAUAAGGACCGGCUAAUUCCGUG
rnacentral:rRNA from 1 species